CUUGAUCCCAGUCUAUAUAGGCAACACCUUUAAUGUGCUUGGAUACCUAAAGGUAACAAGCAGCUGCUUACUGCAGUUCACAGAUCAAACAAAGG
rnacentral:rRNA from 1 species